rnacentral:rRNA from 1 species
CCUACGGGGGGCAGCAGGCGCGAAAACUUUACAAUGCGGGAAACCGUGAUAAGGGGACACCGAGUGCCAGCAUCAUAUGCUGGCUGUCCGGAUGUGUAAAAUACAUCCGUUAGCAAGGGCCGGGCAAGACCGGUGCCAGCCGCCGCGGUAACACCGGCGGCCCGAGUGGUGAUCGUGAUUAUUGGGUCUAAAGGGUCCGUAGCCGGUUUGGUCAGUCCUCCGGGAAAUCUGAUAGCUCAACUAUUAGGCUUUCGGGGGAUACUGCCAG